UCAGAUAAUUUUAUGACUUCAGGAAUAUACAUACCCAAAAUAAUGAAAGCAAUGCAAAACAUUUUAAUAGGCUACUGAUUAUUAGAAUUUUAAUCUAAAAUAUUUUUUAGCAAAUUAAUUUAAUACACCAUCAGCUAAUAUGUUAUUCGAAAUACUUCUUAAAAUAUUAAUAAUUGACAAAUCUGAAAAUCUAUCUUGUUCCAUUGAGGUACGCAACCAAUUUUUAUUUGCUAACCAAAAUGCAACGUGUGUUCACGUACUGUUUUCGUUUCGCGCGUCGUCGGAAUAGUCCUAAGAGCAGUGGACCAAGCACUCGAAUGGAAUACUACCAUGCACUGAACGCAGCUAUUAUCUAUCGGACAUUCGGACCUACCUACAUAAACAGGUCAAUAAUCAAGCUUCCAUAGCACUGAUUCAUCGAUUCAAAAGGAACCAUUUGAGUCAGUGGAAGAUUAAAACAUGCAUUGUUUAGUGGAAAUGCAAAAUAUUCAAUUAUUUUGUCUCAUAAGACACAUCUUACUGAGUUAAUCAUCCAACACUUUCAUCAUAUCUUUUAACAGUUUAGAAUAUUUCUGGUUGAGCAGCGGUCCGUGACUUUACCUACUCUCGUAUUCCCUGCACCAAGUUUGGAGUUAUGAACUAACGACCGUUUAUGGGGGAUCUACUAGCUGCUAGAGUUAUAGAAAACCAACCAUUUUUUAACGUAGGAAAUAGUAAUGAAUUAUAGAGGACCUUUCAUGGUUCGUAAAAGUUGACGUCGUGGUGCUCUUAUUAAUAAAAUAUAUUUAGCCUUCUUUGUAUGUAUGUCGGUAAGGUUAGGAAAUCGUUGAAGAUCUAUCCACAGACGCAUUCUUCGCCACAUUAGAUAGAUUUGUUGCGCAACGUGUUAUUCCCAACACCAUGUAUAUACUACAUAUCACUAUAGUACAUAUUAUAUUGUAGGUUGAUGGUUAGAUUGUGGUACAAAUUAUGUAGGUGUUACCAAACAAUUAAAGCGAUUAAUCGACGAAGACUCCAAUUAACAAACCUUUUAUGGUCGUGUACCAUGCACGUGGUAAUUUAAUCCAUCCGGAGCCCCACAUUUUGACGGUAUAUGAGAGACUGCCAUCAAAAACACUAAAACCUAUCCAAGGAAAGUGAUCCGUGCUCAAGUAUACAUUACCGGGGAAUUCACGACAUUAAUAACACGUAUCGAAGGCGUGUAACACUCUCGGCCGAUGCUACCUCUCUCCAUAUUGAUCAUAUAAUGACUAAGCGUGUGUUACCGCAGAUCAUUUUCUGAUUAGGCGACCUUUACUAGCUCUUCCGGGAAAAUAUGUAGUGAGCACUCAAUCAACCGUUUAAGUCGUCAACAGCUACUCCGUCAAGUUCAACAGUCAUUUCGACGAUGAUAGAGCAAUUAGAACAAUGGUUGUUUACAUUUUAUACACCCUACAAAGAAGGCAGAAGUGGUUUAAGCAGACAUCAAAUUUAUCCGUCGUCAUCAAUACACCGACAAGAUCACCCAUGGCUUGGUAGAUCGGUUAAAUAAUCGAGAUUCGUCCAGGUCUGGAUAAUAUUGUUUGUGUGAUGGUUACCGUCAAAACAUAAGAAUGUAUCCUCGAGCGUCUUGUUGCCAAGCUGGUUAGACUGCCAGUUGAUCCCAGACCUUAAAAGGAUCGCCAUAUUACAGUAUCCUUAACAUUUUUUUUUACCUAUUUAUGUCUUGUGGCUGGGGUCAUUCUAUAAAUGUGUGCAACACGGAGAGCGUUACUCUGACGUCAUGAACCACCUGUCGAUUUAUGACGAUAUGUAUUAUGUACCUAUUGUACCUAGUGUCCUAGUACCUACAACUAUAAAUUUGUGAGAUUUAGAUUUACCAUGACAUCUUGAACCACCUGUAUGUUUAUAAAAUAUAAAUGUAUCACAAUAUUAUUAUUAUGUUUUAUGUACCUAGCGCCUACAACUAUAAAUUUGUCCAAUUUAAACAAUUUGAACCCAUCAUGGAUCGCGAAAAUUCUGCGCUCGAAUUAUGAUACACAGUUAAUUCUGGAAGAGUAUACUCCUGUACUACAAUAUGUAUUGUCUUGUCAGUCGAUCGGAUGUCGUACCUAGUUCUAUUAAAAAUGCCUAAUACAAUUUUACCUACUUACUUAAAGUUAUAUCUGUUACCUAACCAAAAAUAUGGUACACCGUAAUGCAGAAAUCGUUGAUAAGACUAUGCAAAACUUUAAAACGAAAAUAAGCAAGGAAUACUCAAUUAAAGAUCUACUGAAAGUAUGGGAUUGCAUUUCUAGAUGGAUUGAAAACAAUAUAAGCCAAGACAAAGUAAUUUUUUUUAUUAUAAUAUACCUGGGUACUUAUAUAAUAUAUGCUUGAGUAUUUAUUAUUUUUAUUAUAGAAUGAAAUUUAAAGCUUAUAAAUACGUUUUUGUUUCUAUUUUAUUCGACGAAGAGACUUUUAUAGCCUUACAUUAUAUAUCACGGUUCACGUUAACAAAUACAUUUACAAAAGAAAAUUACUUACCCGUAUGACCGUAGACAUCUCUUACAAUUCUCUCGCGCGCCAUACGCAUUAUAAAAUAUUUUGAUUAAAUUAUCUGCAUCAAGACAUUUAAUUUAUGUUGUUAUUGUUAUAACAAAUUUAAAAUUUGUAAAAAUCAAGAUUUUACUCUAUUGGUGUUUAUCUGCAUUGUUUUAAUAUUAUUAAUAGAAUAAUUGGUGUACCACAUAAUGACGAUCAUAGCGUUAUAUAUUUAUGUUCAUAUUUUUUUUAUGUUUUAAUGAAAGCUU